rnacentral:rRNA from 1 species
UACAGAGGGUGCGAGCGUUAAUCGGAAUUACUGGGCGUAAAGCGUGCGUAGACGGUAGCGUAAGUCAGAUGUGAAAGCCCCGGGCUCAACCUGGGAAUUGCAUUUGAGACUGCUCUGCUCGGGUGCGGAAGAGGGAAGCGGAAUUUCCGGUGUAGCGGUGAAAUGCGUAGAUAUCGGAAGGAACACCAGUGGCGAAAGCGGCUUCCUGGUCCGAC